GCUAAACAGCUAGCUUAAUCACCAAUAUAAUUCAACAAUGUUCAUAACAAGACAUAACCCCUCACCAAAAACUAAACCAUUUUUUUACCUGAGUAUGGGAGACAGAAAAGGUUCUACCCCAAAGCAAUAGAAAAAGUACCGCAAGGGAAAGCUGAAAGAGAAAUGAAAUAACCCAUAUAAGCACUAAAAAACAAAGACUAAACCUUGUACCUUUUGCAUCAUGAUUUAGCCAGUACCCUCAAGCAAAGAGUCCUUUAGUUUGACACCCCGAAACCAGGUGAGCUACCCCGAGACAGCCUAUAUAAUUUAGGGCUAACCCGUCUCUGUGGCAAAAGAGUGGGAAGAGCUCCGGGUAGAAGUGACAGACCUACCGAACCUGGUGAUAGCUGGUUGCCUAAGAAAUGGAUAGAAGUUCAGCCCCGCACGCCCCAAACCAAAAAUUUCCUACCUUAAGGUAUUUAAGGGUAAUAUGCGGGAGUUAGUUAGAGGGGGUACAGCCCCUCGAACAAAGGAUACAACCUUCACAGGAGGAUAAAGAUCACAAUAUACAAAACCUGCCGUUCUAGUGGGCCUAAAAGCAGCCAUCUAAGCAGAAAGCGUUAAAGCUCAGACAGAAAAAAGUUUAUUAUACCGAUAAAUAAUCUUACUCCCCUAACUAUAUUAGGCUAACCCAUGCCCACAUGGAAGAAAUUAUGCUAAAAUGAGUAACAAGAAGGCCUGUUCUUCUCCUAACACAAGUGUAAGCCAGAUCGGACAAGCCGCUGGAAAUUAACGAACCCAACCAAAGAGAGUGAUGUGGACAAUAGAAAAACCCAAAGAAAACCCCACAACUGAACAUCGUUAACCCCACACUGGAAUGUUAUUUAAAGGAAAGACUAAAAGAAAGGGAAGGAACUCGGCAAACACAAGCCUCGCCUGUUUACCAAAAACAUCGCCUCCUGCAACUAAACCAAGUAUAGGAGGUCCAGCCUGCCCAGUGACUACGGGUUCAACGGCCGCGGUAUUUUGACCGUGCAAAGGUAGCGCAAUCACUUGUCUUUUAAAUAGAGACCUGUAUGAAUGGCUAAACGAGGGCUUAGCUGUCUCCCCCUUCCAGUCAGUGAAAUUGAUCUAUCCGUGCAGAAGCGGGUAUAAAUAUACAAGACGAGAAGACCCUUUGGAGCUUAAGGUACAAAACUUAACCACGUAAAACGACUCAAUAAAAAGCAAGAACUUAGUGGAAAGUAAGAAUUUACCUUCGGUUGGGGCGACCACGGAGGAAAAACCAGCCUCCGCGUGGAACGGGCCAAACCCCUAAAGCCAAGAGAAACAUCUCCAAGCCACAGAACAUCUGACCAUAAAUGAUCCGGCUAUGCAGCCGAUCAACGAACCAAGUUACCCUAGGGAUAACAGCGCAAUCCUCUCCCAGAGUCCAUAUCGACGAGGGGGUUUACGACCUCGAUGUUGGAUCAGGACAUCCUAAUGGUGCAGCCGCUAUUAAGGGUUCGUUUGUUCAACGAUUAAAGUCCUACGUGAUCUGAGUUCAGACCGGAGCAAUCCAGGUCAGUUUCUAUCUGUAAUGCUACUUUUCCUAGUACGAAAGGAUCGGAAAAGAGGGGCCCAUACUUGAAGCACGCCCCACCCCUAAUUAAUGAAAACAAAUAAAUUAAAUAAAGGGAGGGCUAAAACCCCUGCCAGCCAAAAUAAGGACAU
rnacentral:rRNA from 1 species